rnacentral:rRNA from 1 species
GACGAACUGUCCUAACGUUGUUCGGAAUCACUGGGCUUAAAGCGUGUGUAGGCGGACGCCUCAGUGUCUUGUGAAAUCCCACGGCUCACCCGUGGAACUGCUGGGCAUACUGGGCGUCUUGGGCCAACUAGGGGCAGCCGGAACAAGCGGUGGAGCGGUGAAAUGCGUAGAUAUCGCUUGGAACGCCGAAGGUGAAAACAGGCUGCUGGGGUUGCGCCGACGCUGAGACACGAAAGCCAGGGGAGCAAACGGG